GUUACUGACUAUUUAAGCCUAUUUCUGAUAUGACAAGAUUUAAAUCCAGUGGAAGAGCUUGUCUGAUAAUGUACAUCUUCUUUCUUUUUUUUUUUUUUAUUUUGUAGAAAAACAUAGAAAUUUGUGGCAGAAAAAAACCAGAGGCUUGGCCAAACUAUGCUUUCUUAGGAACCGGGCUAAAUAGGAGCAGAAGCUAUUCUGUGUAGCUGUGAGUUCAAGAAAUACUUGAGAUAAUUACUGGAGGUCCUCUGAGAAUAAAAUUUGUACUUGAAAAAGAUCGUCAGAAUGGACAGAUGGUUGAAGCACUGAGACCCAUUAAGCUCUGAAUUAGGAACAGCCAAGAAGGGAAAUUUCUAGUUGUUUCUCUGACCAGUUCUCUGAGUUGCUGCUCUUCAGUUGUUUUCUAGAACAAAAUGGUUGUCAUUUGAGAACAGGUCAGCAGUGAGUUCUCUGCUGACCUGAAAGUAAAGUGAAAUGGAACUACAGAAAGAAUUUCUGAAAACUAAAGUAUCAAGAGUGAGCAUCAAGAAAAAGAAUGGAACAGAAAGGAAAGGCAGAUUGAGGAAAUACGAGGCUGAAUUUGGGAAGUGAAGUUGACAAGCUGACAGGAAGUUAACACUGUGCUGAUAAAGGCAAGUAAGGAAAAGGUGAAGAACUAAUUAUACAAAAUGAAGCCCCAUGUUUGGAAGCUGUGCUCAGCAGGCAGAGCUCUGUUGACUUAACCAGAUGAAAUUCCUGCAGAAAGCCUUCUCCUUUGCCAGUCGAGUAAGUCUAAUAGCCUUUCAGGCUAAAACAAACUUUUAAGGAUUUGUAACAACAGCUUACUAUGGUACUACAGAGACAACAACAUGUCCAUAA
rnacentral:lncRNA from 1 species